rnacentral:rRNA from 1 species
GACGAACGCUGGCGGCGUGCUUAACACAUGCAAGUCGAACGGAAAGGCCCUGCUUUUGUCGGGUGCUCGAGUGGCGAACGGGUGAGUAACACGUGAGUAACCUGCCCUUGACUUUGGGAUAACUUCAGGAAACUGGGGCUAAUACCGGAUAGGAGCUCCUGCUGCAUGGUGGGGGUUGGAAAGUUUCGGCGGUUGGGGAUGGACUCGCGGCUUAUCAGCUUGUUGGUGGGGUAGUGGCUUACCAAGGCUUUGACGGGUCGCCGGCCUGAGAGGGUGACCGGCCACAUUGGGACUGAGAUACGGCCCAGACUCCUACGGGAGGCAGCAGUGGGGAAUAUUGCACAAUGGGCGGAAGCCUGAUGCAGCAACGCCGCGUGCGGGAUGACGGCCUUCGGGUUGUAAACCGCUUUCGCCUGUGACGAAGCGUGAGUGACGGUAAUGGGUAAAGAAGCACCGGCUAACUACGUG